CGGUCGGCAGGCGAUCCGCGUCGGUCGUGCGAGGUGGUAUGGUUCCCCAGAGGCCGGUUCUUGUGCUGCCUACCCCUUCGAGGGAAGCGGGCCACUUGAUGUAAGCCUCCAUCCGGCGCCUUCCAAUGGGCGCAGGAGGACAACGGAGCACCCCCCGCGUUCCACCGAGCCUUCUCGGUCGCGUGGCCCGUGGGGACGUGCGAUGCUCUCGGACCCAGCGAACGCCGUGGGCGAGGACUCACGUCCCAGUCCCGAAAAGAAGCUCCGAUAUAACGCAUGACGGCCGCUCCCGCCCCCCUACCGCCCCGGCGGCGCGGGGGCGAGGCGCGGCGUCGCAGAGGAAUGCUAC
rnacentral:misc_RNA from 1 species